rnacentral:rRNA from 1 species
AAGUACAAGUCGUAACAAG